rnacentral:rRNA from 1 species
CGCAGCCGCGGUAAUUCCAGCUCCAAUAGCGUAUAUUAAAGUUGUUGCAGUUAAAAAGCUCGUAGUUGAACUUCAGGCCUGGCUGGACGGUCCGCCCUCUGGGUGAGCACUGUCUGUGGUCGGGUCCUACCUUCUGGCGAAGCGGCAUGGCCUUAACCGGCCGUGGCGGGGAACCAGGACUUUUACUGUGAAAAAAUUAGAGUGUUCAAAGCAGGCACGCGCUUGGAUACAUUAGCAUGGAAUAAUGGAAUAGGACAAUGGUUCUAUUUGUUGGUUUCUAGGACCGUUGUAAUGAUUAAUAGGGAUAGUUGGGGGCGAUUAGUAUUCAAUUGUCAGAGGUGAAAUUCUUGGAUUUAUUGAAGACUAACUACUGCGAAAGCAUUUGCCAAGGAUGUUUUCAUUAAUCAAGAACGAAAGUUAGGGGAUCGAAGACGAUCAGAUACCGUCGUAGUCUUAACCAUAAACUAUGCCGACUAGGAAUCGGGCGAUGUUGACAAAAUGACGCGCUCGGCACCUCAUA